CAGACUAAGUCCAUCCAGCGUGUGGAUAAACACACUGGCCGCAGCAAGGAGACCGUACUGGCCAACGUAGAGGGCCUCAUGGACAUCAUCGUAGUCUCAGCACAGAGGCAGCGCGACAGAGAGACCACCAGCACUGCAGCCCCCAAUAAGAUCCCCAAAGCCCCCACAGACCCUCAGUAAGGACCCCCACUGAUCAACUGCACAGACAAGAACCUGAGUGUGGAGGGCUGCUUACAAAGCAACGUGGUGACAGCUCCUCAUGGGGAGGGUCUUCAUAUCAGCUAUGUUAUUGGAGGAGCAUUAACCAUUCUUGCCAUCCUGAUAAUCAUCACUGCCUUCAUUAUUUACAGGUAAGACCAAGUCCUCUCUAAAUACUCAAAAUUCCUCUCAUUUGACAUUUACAUUUUAGUCAUUUAGCAGACGCUCUAAUCUAGAGCGAUUUACAGUUAGUACAUUCAUCUUAAAGUAGCUAGGCGAGAGAACCACAUCAGUCAUAGUAAGUAAAAUGUUCCUCAAAGUCAUCAAUAAAGUCAGUGCUAGUAAUAAAAUAAAUGUCUUUAUGUCUAUUCUCCAUCCC
ensembl:lncRNA